rnacentral:rRNA from 1 species
UGGGGAAUCUUGGACAAUGGGGGCAACCCUGAUCCAGCCAUGCCGCGUGAGUGAAGAAGGCCUUAGGGUCGUAAAGCUCUUUCACCGGUGAAGAUAAUGACAGUACCUGGAGAAUAAGCUCCGGCUAACUCCGUGCCAGCAGCCGCGGUAAUACGGAGGGAGCUAGCGUUGUUCGGAAUUACUGGGCGUAAAGCGCGCGUAGGCGGUUACUCAAGUCAGGGGUGAAAUCCCGGAGCUCAACUCCGGAACUGCCCUUGAAACUAGGUGACUAGAAUCUUGGAGAGGCGAGUGGAAUUCCGAGUGUAGAGGUGAAAUUCGUAGAUAUUCGGAAGAACACCAGUGGCGAAGGCGACUCGCUGGACAAGUAUUGACGCUGAGGUGCGAAAGCGUGGGGAGCAAACAGGAUUAGAUACCCCCGUAGUCC